AACAACAACAACGACAAAAAAUAAUAAAUAGAAGUAACAAUAACAACAACAACAACAAACUCACGAGUUAUUUCCUCGUUUGCGUGACCGGUGAUGUUGGUGGUUUGAUUGCGGUUAUUCG
rnacentral:rRNA from 17 species